AACCGCUGGGUUGACCCUGUCUCCGAUGAAACUUCCCAACAAUGCAGCUGCUGUGAGCACCGGCUUUUUAAGUCCACAGGAGAGAGCGGUUCUCAGCGCUGCUGCCGCCGAUUUGGUGGGCUCUUUCCGGGAAAUAAAGGUUUUGGAGUCAGUCAGGCCAUCUCUCAGCUAUGAGUGAGACGCGAGGCCGCGGUCUAAAGUUUGCAGUUCCCCCGCGAACAGCAGCCCUUCACCGGCUCAGAUUUCGGCGUGCAUGAGAAUUAGCACUAUUUCGCUCAUCAGUGAGUUUAAUCAGCGAGUCCAUCAAAAGGUGUAAUCAUCCCCUGAUUGGACGAGAGGAAAUGCCAGAACGCUGAUCAAAACAUGCACAGAGACACCUGCCGUUCCAACGUCGACAAUCAAAGCGGCCCUACUGUUACCAUGGAGAUUAUCAAAGCCAGAAUCUUCGUCAUCCUAACCUUUGAGGUUAAAGCAAGACAUUGCACCAGCAAAGGUUAACACAGGGACACAUUUAACUGUCAGUGUGUGCAGGCUCAGUGGAUGACAUUUGUGAAGCCAUUAUAAAGGCUAUGUGGUUGCUUAACAUAAUGAAUACAGGUCAAAGCUUGAGACACAGCAAUCUGCUAUGAACUUUAAGUGAAUUCUAAUCUUAUUUAAAUAGAAAACUGUAAAUAAUUAAGCAUCAACCGGUUCAUAUCAAAUAUAUGUAAAAAACUCUCAAAUAGGCAAAUGACUAAUUACUCAUACUUAGGUGUAGAGAUUUGAACAAAUCCCUAAAUGUAAGUAUUAAAUUUCAGCAUGCAACUCUUUGUGCUAUGGACAUGAAGGACACAUUAAACCAUGUUACUUACUGAAAGGUGGUUUGCUGUUGUGCUAUUUUAGAAAUUAUUGGAGACCAAUGUGUGGUUGACCAAUAUGGAUUUUCUUUGAUGGCUGAUAAAUAAAUGGCUAAAUAAAAUGGCUUACAUCACACAAAUUUAAAGACAGCAAAUAACAUGCAAUGAAAGUGAUAUUUAUGGUUAUGUAAUAUUUACCUAAAGAAUU